CUGAUUGGUUGUCCGCCUGUAUAUCAGGAUACAUGGGAGUCAUGCUUGACAACAGGGCUUAUUCCAGUAAAAAAAACAACUGCGGAGCGUGUUCAGAGUUUGGGAGACGCUUAUUGGUCAGUUAUUGUCACGCCGAACGAAUGCGGAGGAAGCGUUAAGACUAUUGUCACUGGGGGACCUGGCUUUAAGUGGCCGGAAAUGCUAUUGGGGAGAUGUUGAGAAUGGAAGAGAAGAGCCAGGCAGUAAGACUGCAAACCAGUUCAAGUCCAUUUGUUAUGCUGUUGGAGAUGUAAUAUGUGAAACAUACUGUGGAAUGGUGAGCAGAGUCACAUGACAUGGGAUGGAACAAAGGAACAGUGAGUUGGAGUCAACAUGGUCCAAGCUCUGUAUCUGCCAAGUUCUCAUGGAUCACAAAGGCAUGUAGUUUGAGAUAUCUAAUAACUGUUUUUUUCUUAUGUGCCUGUGUGAAUGAAUGCUUGUUUUUCUCUGUAUUCAUGCAUGUUAGUGUCUUAUGAUGUACUUUUUCAGGUGUAAGUGCUUUUUGAGAUGAACUACCAUGACCCUUACUGGAUAUGAAACUACCUCACAGUUUUUUAUUUGUGGAUAAAGAAUUCA